rnacentral:tRNA from 1 species
ACCUGGGUGGUUCAGUUGGUUGAGCGUCUGACUUCUGCUCAGGUCAUGAUCCCACAGUUGGUGGGUUCGAGUCCCACACCAGGCU